rnacentral:rRNA from 1 species
UAGGCCUAACACAUGCAAGUCGAGCGAGACCUUCGGGUCUAGCGGCGGACGGGUGAGUAACGCGUGGGAACGUGCCCUUUGGUUCGGAAUAGCCCCGGGAAACUGGGAGUAAUACCGGAUAAGCCCUACGGGGGAAAGAUUUAUCGCCAAAGGAUCGGCCCGCGUUGGAUUAGGUAGUUGGUGGGGUAAUGGCCUACCAAGCCGACGAUCCAUAGCUGGUUUGAGAGGAUGAUCAGCCACACUGGGACUGAGACACGGCCCAGACUCCUACGGGAGGCAGCAGUGGGGAAUCUUAAAAGAUGGGGGAAACCCUGAUCUAGCCAUGCCGCGUAUUUAAGAGGGCCUUAGGGUUGUAAAGCUCUUUCAGUGGGGAAGAUAAUGA